rnacentral:misc_RNA from 1 species
UUUCCGUAGGUGAACCUGCGGAAGGAUCAUUAUUGGAUUUUGUAACUUCAGGCUGCUGCUGGCUCUCCUCGGAGGGCAUGUGCACGCUUGUUGUCCAUUAUUUCUCCCACUGUGCACAAAUUGUAGACCUUUCAGUAGGCCUAUGUUGUUUUUCACAAUCUCUGAAUGUAAUAGAAUGGUUUUGAAUCUUGGGAAAUACAAUACAACUUUCAGCAACGGAUCUCUUGGCUCUC